UAUCACAUGCCCUAGAUCCAGCCAGCUCUGAAAAUCCCCACCUAUGAGCACAUGAGACUUUAGGGGAAUACCUGGAUACAAGGCAUAAUGUUGUCUUUGGGUAUAUUUCUUGGUCUUGUGCCAGUGUACUUUCCUAACAUGCUUGGGUUUUCCUUUGUUAGGUAUUUUAGGUGCCAUUUGAGUGGUCCACACCCACCCAUACUUAAAUAUCUUUUAGGAAGAACAACAGUAGCGUUGAAUGGGAGUCAAGUAUGGAUGGCAUGGGCAGCCACAGAGAGGAGGUCUGCUGCUGAAUGUGGGGAGAUCCUGUGUGGGCAGUCACGCACACAGGUCCCAUAAUGAUCUGGAACCGUAACUGGUGUGAGGUUCACUGCACAUGGUGCUCAGCUGAUGGCUGUCUGCUGGGACCGUUCAAGCUGUGCCUCUCCAGGAACUGCAAGUUCACAAUGCUGGGGGACAGUUAGGGGAAAGGACUACCAUCCAAGUGCCACCCAAGGGCAGCGAGGCAGGAAGUCUGCAUCCACCAACUGAAAUUUCCCUGGUCCCGUGGCUUGGACGUGAUGCACUGAGCUCCCUGAGCUUUCCCAGGUGAUGGGGAGGGCUAGGGUUAGGGUGGGGCCAGGGAGCCGCCUGUCUUGGGAUGUCAAAAAUUAAGUGAUGACGAUAAAUGACAUUUAAUGCUAUCAUUUAAAAAA
rnacentral:lncRNA from 1 species